UGGGGAAUCUUGCGCAAUGGACGAAAGUCUGACGCAGCGACGCCGCGUGGGUGAUGAAGGCCUUCGGGUUGUAAAGCCCUGUGGGGAGGGACGAAUAAGCCGUGGUUAAUACCCACGGUGAUGACGGUACCUCCUUAGCAAGCACCGGCUAACUCUGUGCCAGCAGCCGCGGUAAGACAGAGGGUGCAAACGUUGUUCGGAAUUACUGGGCGUAAAGCGCGUGUAGGCGGCCACCUAAGUCGGAUGUGAAAGCCCUCGGCUCAACCGAGGAAGUGCAUUCGAAACUGGGUGGCUUGAGUCCCGGAGAGGAUAGUGGAAUUCUCGGUGUAGAGGUGAAAUUCGUAGAUAUCGAGAGGAACACCGGUGGCGAAGGCGGCUAUCUGGACGGUGACUGACGCUGAGACGCGAAAGCGUGGGGAGCAAACAGG
rnacentral:rRNA from 1 species